rnacentral:tRNA from 1 species
GCCGGCGUAGCUCAGUCUGGUAGAGCAGCGGGCUGUUAACCCGUUGGUCGGUGGUUCAAAUCCACCCGCCGGCG